ACAGCGUUUAUGAAAGUGCUUACAUUGAGUGGUGCCAUUAUAAGAAAUGUUCUCUGCAUUCGUACGUAUAUCUCGCUCCUAGGGACGGUUGAAUCGGUGGGUAGACCACAGAGAGCAAAGCCAGCCUUGACCAACUAUAAGUUAUGGGGGCAAUUCCAGUCCCAGGGCCAAUUCAUCUAUGGUGGCAAGCUCAUUCAUUUCAAUUGUCAAAUUUGCCCUUAAUUGGUCUCUGAGAGUCUUGGGUUGGGCGAUGCCAAGUUUGCCAUGAUGCAAAUAAGCUCAACACCCACAGAGCUAUUAUCAAUGCUUCAUGUUAGUCAUGCCCCUCUCUGGAUCAUCAUCCAAUAUUGUCCUGACAUGGAGGCUGAGAAUUGGUGGUGACAUUGAUGCUUAGUAUUAAUCAUUAAAUUGAGGAGUCUUUCGGCUCAAUUUAUGGUUCAUUUGACCUCCACAGUCUCGGUGUCAUAACUUGAUUCUAUCUUGCCUACCUAAUGAGAUUACAUUAUUCAAUAUCACGUGGUGAGAAGGUAGCUAUUUGGGCUCAUUUGAGUUGAUGAACACUUGCUGCAAGGAAGAUUGAGCGUUGUUUUAUCUAAUUUAUUUUGUCUUGAGAAGCCAGCAUGUGCUUUAAUGAAAGAGUGACAAGACUACAAUUAAACAGGAACACCUCUUGAGCCUCAUUUGUUUAAAACCCAUUUCCAUUUAUCAAACUCAGGUUCUACCAAAGCCCAGUAACACGCAAAAAAUUGCCAAAUAUGCCUAAAAAUAGUACGCUCUUCCCGAAAAACCAGAAAGAGACACCAAAGGGCAUCCAAACCUGCUAAAUUCUUGGGUUCCGUAAUCAUGAAAAUAAUGAGGCACAAGCUUGCACAUUCAAACUUUGGUUUGGAUUAAAUCUAUGCAUGUAAGUAAGUAGUUUUACCUAACCUUAAUUUCAAAACCAUUGUCUUGCGAGGAAUACCACUAGAUUAAAGGGACCAAUAAAAUCCGCAGAUCUGCCUGAGCUCAUUUGUCAAAUCAUGGGGAGGAAGCCAAGCCACUUACUCUUGUCCAUGUUGUAUCGUCCUCUGCGAACAUGUCUUACUAAUGACCUGGGUGGGCUCUUUCGGCUCAAUUAGGGUCACCAAAAGGUCCGUUAAUCACUUCUGAACCUUUCCCAAGGCCCCUUAUCUCCUCCGUUCUGUUAAUAUGAGAACCCAUAGAUUUGUCUGCGUAAUGAGGCCCGAUACUCAUCUUAAUUGGUUUGACGACCAGAAGUAUCGGAAUAUAUGUUUCUGGUCAGCUUUACGAUCCCCGGCCCGCCCAUCUUCGCAAACAAAUUGGACUGCCUGCAAACGAGAUUAAAUAGAAAGCGCUAUUUUCUUCCUCAAAGUUCAGAACGCGGCUUUGAGGCUCAAGACUUCUGAGGUUUGACUGAGAAGCCUAUUUUAAAGGACUAAAGUACAUACAACACCAACAUGUUUGCAAGGAAAAGAAGUAGUCCAGCUUUGCCUUAAUUGGCAGUUCCCGUUUAUGAAGAACAAGACAUGAAAUUAGUCUCCUAAUUGAGGGUAGUGGUCCAAUUACUCCGAAACGAAUGUCGAACUGAUGAGGCUCAUCCUUAAAAAGCUAUCAACUCUUUUAAGUUGUGUUUUCUUCUUGCUGAUUUUGUCUACAUAACCGGUGAAUAGAGAGCGCAUGAAUUGAUUAACCAUCCACAGCAUCAAAAUAUAACCUUCUUGCAAGGAGGCCUUUGCAAUCUCAAAGAACCUUCGUCUUUCCGAUUCGAAAUGUGUCCUCGUCAAUAUUAACCACCAUUUUCAAGACGUUCGACUUGCUUGUCCUGGAGCGGGAAAUCGAAAUUUGAAUUUCGGGGAUGUCAAUCAAUUUCCUGAACGAGCAGGUGGAUAAAGGUCAUGAGAAGUGAAGACUCGUCCGCCUGUCUGAGUCAGUUCGAUAGGGCAGGAAGGGGCCUGAAUGAUACAUAAUCACCGCUCUGUCAGGGAGAAAACGUCGGAAAUCUCGCCUUGAUUUGUCUCCAAAAUGCCGAGCCACCAACCAUGUUUUACUGUCAUAAGCCCUCACCAAUGUUCGGUGCGUUCAAAUCCUCAGAAAAAGACGGGGAUGUCAAUGGCCUUGAGACGACUUUUUGGGCAGCGGACUGCCCCUCCCUUAUCAAUCUAAGAUGGAUAACCGGGUAAAGAAGCCUCACCCCUUAAACAGACUCAUCCUUCACCCACUAAAAUGUCUACCUUUUUUCAGGGAUACGAUCCAAUCUGGCCAUCAAUGAGGAUUUCGGGAGGAUUAAUUUGGGCUAGGCCGAUGCCGUUCUGUCUCUGUCCAGCCUCCUGAGUCUUGAUUCCACGCCCAAGUGCUCCUCACAGUAUGGGGAAUGAUGAUCUUGGACACCUCAGAUCGGCAUCAUUUUUCAUAGACCUCUGGAGUGGAUGUGUCUAAAUCUUGCUCGAAUCUUGACGGUAGAAACCAUUGAUGGGACCGUAUUGGUGCCCAGAGGAACACGUCUACUUUAUCUAAGCUCUAUUGUCCUCGUGAUUUGAGUGAGGAGAACCCCAUCAAACCAAAUUUUCGAGAUACCGCAUCAAAAACACAAAAACUGAUGAUUCACCCUGAACUCGUAAAAUCUGCCGAUCAAUAUGGCUGCUCUUCGCUCCCAAUCUUCAGCAUGACUCUAGAUCACUUUAAAAAAAAGAAAAGGCUCGAAAGUGC